CCAACAUUUUUUUUCUUCUGUAACGUUUCCGGAUAAACUUGACCAGCAUCUAAUUAAAGUUAUUAUUUAUAUCUUAUCUUAUAUCCCACUCCUCCUACUAAGUCUCAUUAAAUAACCCUCUACGGCUCUACCUCCUCCUUCCUCACUAGAAUCUAUCUCCUAUAAAUACGUAUACUAUCAUACAACAUGGCGACAUCCCAGACUCUAUUGAUUUGAAAAACGGGCGAUGUAAACAGACAGUUGUAACACAUCUUCUAUGUUUCUUAGAGGAGCUUGAUGUGAAAAGAGGUUGAGAUCAUGGUCGUGGAUAUGCUGCUUCUUGAUGAAAAGGUUUUGUAAACGUCAAUUGCCGGAACACAUUCAACCACCUCCGUUCCGAGAAGAAGAUUGGCAGUUGCGUUAAAGCCGCCACCACAGUACGCUUGUGGAUGCCUUUUCCUUAUUUCUGAGAUUCCAAAGGCACGUUGUAGACGUCUUUUUCUUAUAUAUGAGGUUCUAAAGGCCUGGCCACCUCUGUUUUUGUCGUUGUGUUUCCUCAUGUUACUCAAUAAGUCCUUUUCCGGUUUUGCAUGAAAGAAGAUGUAGAACAUUUUGAGGAUUUGAAAGAAGAAGAUCAUAUUUGAUCAAUAAAGAAACAGCGAAAGAAGGGAAUGAUGUUGAUGAUGACGUUCAUCGUGACGGUGACAAACCCACAAGUAGAGAUGGUGUCUCUUCUUCAGACAACGACGUGGCUUUUGCGGUCAGGCAAUAUGAUGAAAGAUGAUUAUGGUUCGGAUAUGAGGAAGAGAUAUUUACAAAGAAACACUCCACAAGCUCUAAGAAACCAAAUAAUUUCCUAAUGAUUGAAAAAGCCAAGCACCAUUGAAAUCAAAUUGUCUUCUUGGAGGCUAUGAUCCUCGCCAUAGAGAGCCUUCUUACUGAAGAGCAACAAAAGAACUAAUCGACACAUCAGAAACGGGAGGCUGAAAGACAGAGAAAAAAAAAUGCGGAGUAGAGUCAACAAUUUAAGAUAUCACACAAACCCUUACCACAGUUUCUCAAUCAAUACAAGUCAAAUUUUAUUCAUUUGCUUUAAGGAACUGAGGAAGCAAGAGAAAACUGCGGCAAGAGAACAUUUAGUUCUGGUGUUCCUCGCAUUGUUCUUUAAUGGUAACGCCAAUUUCUCUUUCGCUACCGCAAAUCUGUAGUUUAUAUAAGAGAAAUGAAGAAGUGGCACAGUUUCAGACUCUUUU